rnacentral:rRNA from 1 species
GCGCACCAGGCGAGAAUACUUUACAAUGUGCGAAAGCACGAUAAGGGAACUCUGAGUGCCUCCUAAGGAGGCUGUUCUGAUGUCUAAGAAGCAACAGAAGUAAGGGCUGGGUAAGACCGGUGCCAGCCGCCGCGGUAACACCGGCAGCCCAAGUGGUAGCCACGUUUAUUGGGUCUAAAGCGUUCGUAGCCGGCCAGGUAAGUUCCUUGGUAAAUUUAGCCGCUUAACGGUUAAGCUUUCAGGGAAUACUGCUUGGCUUGGGACUGGGGAGAGGUCAGAGGUACUCCGGGGGUAGGGGUGAAAUCUAUUAAUCCCUGGGGGACCACCGGUAGCGAAGGCGUCUGACCAGACCAGGUCCGACGGUGAGGGACGAAGGGCUAGGGGCGCGAACCGGAUUA